rnacentral:rRNA from 1 species
UACGUAGGUGGCAAGCGUUUGUUCGGAAUUAUUGGGCGUAAAGGCGCGUAGGCGGUCUUGUAAGUCAGCUGUGAAAGCCCGGGGCUCAACCCCGGAGGGUCGGCUGAUACUGCAGGACGUGGAGUACGGAAGAGGUAGCUGGAAUUCCCGGUGUAGCGGUGAAAUGCGUAGAGUAAUCGGGAGGAACGACCUGAGGCGAAGGCGGGACUACUGGGCCGAGUACGUGAC